UUACUACCUCUGAAAUACCAGCAAAACUGGGAAUGUUUUGACAUGCACAAGCUGGUGCCCUCAAGACCUUGCUGAGUUGUCCUUGUCACUGGGAGGAAUGUCUCUGGUCUGUGGCUGUACUUCAAGGAAAUCAUUUCUGUUCAGGCAUGAUCAGAGCUCGUUCCCUUCUUCCAAGGGCAGCUUCUGGGCUCCCUGCUCCAUGUGCAGGAACACGGGGGGCUUUAAGAAUUGUUGAUCUGUUCCUGUGGUUUAGAAAUUACUCCCUCACAGGACAAUAGUAUUACCUGCUUAAUCAUAAGAUAGAAACCUGCAGCUGAUCUGUAUGUUUCCACUCACUCAGGCAACGUACUGCUCAGAGAAGAGACCUGCGAGGUGCUGUAAGAUGGGGAAAAUCCAACCGGCUGAAGGAAAAAAAAAAAAAAGGAAAGAAAAAAAAAAGACUUGCAUCACCACAAAAACACUGAGCACAACACAGCAUUAGAUUGCAAAGUGAUGUAACUGAGAAAUACACUGCUUUCUGUUUUCACAGGGAGGCCCUUUCCCUGUUUCCAAAAAUAGUACAGCAUUAUGUUUUGCUGGUGGGUGGGUGAGUGGGUGUGGGGUGGAGUGUAUGUGUGUGGGGGGAGAAAUCAGUCAUCUCUUACUGGAUCCUACAACCUCAUGAACCUUUCAGAAUUAUGCUUCACAUAUUGCAAGCGGCAGAACUAAUGGCAGUAUCCACAGGAAAAUGAAAUCGAAUGAAACCAUCAAAAGCAUUGCUGCAAAAACUGUUAGAUUAAUUUUUAUCCUCGGCCUUUAUUGCACAUAUUUGUACCACUGAAAAACAAGCUGCCACACAUGGAAAAUAUUACAAUGUAUGAGAGAAUGCCUUUGACUGUAAUUCCCAAACAAAAUAUUUUCUCAUGCAAAAUAAGACCCCAAAUACAGCGGGUUUUUUUCCCCCUUUUUUUUCUUUUCCCCGCAGAAAAAGAAUGCUUCUUAUUUUUUGCAUGUUUUCUGAGCUGGAGAAAUAAAGGCAUAGGUGGACCAAGCACAGUUCUAUAUGGACAACAUCAAUUUAAAGUUCAAGUUAAAAAAUGUAUUUUCUUGGAACUGGUUUGAUCAUUUAGAUGGAAAAAAAUAAAAUUGGCAUUUAAAUACCA